rnacentral:ncRNA from 25 species
AUGAAUACAACAGACAGCGGCCCGGCUAUAAUCCGCCCCGAUUCGGCCAAGAGAACACGGUGCAAAUCCGUGGCGGGCCCGCCGCUGUAACCGGGGACGAACGCCGCCUGUCGCGAGACGGCCACUGCCGGGGACCACCCUGGCGGGAAGGCGCGGCGCUUCGGACGAUCCGGGAGCCAGAAGACCUGUCGAGUCCUUUUCUCGAAAC